UGGAGGGGCUGGCUCAGGAUGCUCGGGUCAAAAGGGUGGUGACGGAGGAAGUGCUUCAACAGCACUAAAUGCAUACGCUGGGGGAGGGGGUAAGUCUGGUUGUCCUGGAGGAGCUGGAGGAAAUGGCGGGUCGAGUGGUGGCAACAAUGGAAACAACGUUCGAGGAGGACAAGGAGGGUCGUCAACAU